rnacentral:rRNA from 1 species
AGUGAAUAGAUACCCCGGUAGUCCUGGCGGUAAACGAUGGGCACUAGGUGUCAGGGGCUUCGACCCCCUUGGCGCCGCCGCUAAACGCAUUAAAGUGCCCCGCCUGGGGAGUACGGCCGCAAGGUUGAAACUCAAAGGAAUUGACGGGGGGCCCGGCACAAGCAGUGGAGCAUGUGGUUUAAUUGGAUGCUACGCCAAGAACCUUACCAAGACUUGACUUCCCGGUGCAAUCCCUUAGAAAUAGGGGACCCCUUCGGGCGCCGGUGACAGGUGGUGCAUGGUUGUCGUCAGCUCGUGCCGUGAGGUGUUGGAUUAAGUUCCGCAACGAGCGCAACCCUCGUGGUUAGUUUGCCAUCAUUCAGUUGGGCACUCUAGCCAGACUGCCGGCGUCAAGCCGGAGGAAGGUGGGGAUGACGUCAAAUCAUCAUGCCCCUUACGUCUUGGGCUACACACGUGCUACAAUGGGCGGUACAAUAGGUUGCCACACCGCGAGGUGGAGCGAAUCCCUAAAGCCGUCCUCAGUUCGGAUUGCAGGCUGCAACUCGCCUGC